GGUGGCUCAGUGGUAGAGUGCUUGCCUUGCAUGCAUGAGGUCCUGGGUUCAAUUCCUCAGUACCA
rfam:Dipodomys ordii contig_28600, whole genome shotgun sequence.